rnacentral:rRNA from 1 species
CUGACCUCAAAUCAGGUAGGACUACCCGCUGGCUUAAGCAUAUCAAUAAGCGGAGGA